rnacentral:rRNA from 1 species
UAAUCACCCAGAAAGUGCGAGACUAGGCGGGUGAAGGGAGCUUGCUCCUUGAUUCACUCGGCGGACGGGUGAGUAAUGCCUAGGAAUCUGCCUGGUAGUGGGGGACAACGUUUCGAAAGGAACGCUAAUACCGCAUACGUCCUACGGGAGAAAGCAGGGGACCUUCGGGCCUUGCGCUAUCAGAUGAGCCUAGGUCGGAUUAGCUAGUUGGUGAGGUAAUGGCUCACCAAGGCGACGAUCCGUAACUGGUCUGAGAGGAUGAUCAGUCACACUGGAACUGAGACACGGUCCAGACUCCUACGGGAGGCAGCAGUGGGGAAUAUUGGACAAUGGGCGAAAGCCUGAUCCAGCCAUGCCGCGUGUGUGAAGAAGGUCUUCGGAUUGUAAAGCACUUUAAGUUGGGAGGAAGGGCAGUAAGUUAAUACCUUGCUGUUUUGACGUUACCGACAGAAUAAGCACCGGCUAACUCUGUGCCAGCAGCCGCGGUAAUACAGAGGGUGCAAGCGUUAAUCGGAAUUACUGGGCGUAAAGCGCGCGUAGGUGGUUCGUUAAGUUGGAUGUGAAAGCCCCGGGCUCAACCUGGGAACUGCAUCCAAAACUGGCGAGCUAGAGUACGGUAGAGGGUGGUGGAAUUUCCUGUGUAGCGGUGAAAUGCGUAAAUAUAGGAAGGAACCCAGUGGCGAAGGCGACCACUGGACUGAUACUGACACUGAGGUGCGAAGCUGGGGAGCAAACAGGAUUAAAUACCUGGGUAAUCCCGCCGG